UACGUAGGGUGCAAGCGUUAAUCGGAAUUACUGGGCGUAAAGCGUGCGUAGGUGGUUUGUUAAGUCUGAUGUGAAAGCCCUGGGCUCAACCUGGGAAUUGCAUUGGAUACUGGCAGGCUAGAGUGCGGUAGAGGAUGGCGGAAUUCCCGGUGUAGCAGUGAAAUGCGUAGAGAUCGGGAGGAACAUCUGUGGCGAAGGCGGCCGUCUGGACCAGCACUGACACUGAGGCACGAAAGCGUGGGGAGCAAACAGG
rnacentral:rRNA from 1 species